UUGCAAGCCUCCAGCGUGCUUGGGUCUGGGGUGACUCUGUGCCUUCCUAUAGGGCUUGCAAGAACAUUCUGAAAUGGUUUGAAGCCUUGCUCUGAGCCACUGAGGGAAAGGUUAGAGAAAUUAGAGACAACA